UCGGCUCCCACGCUCGGGCAGGCCUCCCGCCGGGGGAUCGGAGCUGCGGUCACUCGCGGCUUCGGGGCCGUGGCGUCCCGCGCACAGCUUCCGCGCCUCUGCAAGGCGCCCUGAAGAAAUGGAGGUGAACAGAGGAACAGCCACUCCCAGCAAGCAAGGGAAGAAGAAUCUUGAAAGCCUGUGACUUCACAGAGACUUCUUGAUUGAUGCCCCUGAAAUCAGCCUGCCAAGUGUGGCCUCUGCAGCAUAAAUACAAGGAGUCUG
rnacentral:lncRNA from 1 species